rnacentral:rRNA from 1 species
CGGCGUGCCUAAUACAUGCAAGUAGAACGCACAGGAUGCACCGUAGUUUACUACACCGUAUUCUGCGAGUUGCGAACGGGUGAGUAACGCGUAGGUAACCUGCCUGGUAGCGGGGGAUAACUAUUGGAAACGAUAGCUAAUACCGCAUAAGAACAUUUACUGCAUGGUAGAUGUUUAAAAGGUGCAAAUGCAUCACUACCAGAUGGACCUGCGUUGUAUUAGCUAGUAGGUGAGGUAACGGCUCACCUAGGCGACGAUACAUAGCCGACCUGAGAGGGUGAUCGGCCACACUGGGACUGAGACACGGCCCAGACUCCUACGGGAGGCAGCAGUAGGGAAUCUUCGGCAAUGGGGGGAACCCUGACCGAGCAACGCCGCGUGAGUGAAGAAGGUUUUCGGAUCGUAAAGCUCUGUUGUUAAGGAAGAACGAGUGUGAGAAUGGAAAGUUCAUACUGUGAUGGUACUUAACCAGAAAGGGACGGCUAACUACGUGCCAGCAGCCGCGGUAAUACGUAGGUCCCGAGCGUUGUCCGGAUUUAUUGGGCGUAAAGCGAGCGCAGGCGGUUAGAUAAGUCUGAAGUUAAAGGCAGUGGCUCAACCAUUGUAGGCUUUGGAAACUGUUUAACUUGAGUGCAGAAGGGGAGAGUGGAAUUCCAUGUGUAGCGGUGAAAUGCGUAGAUAUAUGGAGGAACACCGGUGGCGAAAGCGGCUCUCUGGUCUGUAACUGACGCUGAGGCUCGAAAGCGUGGGGAGCGAACAGGAUUAGAUACCCUGGUAGUCCACGCCGUAAACGAUGAGUGCUAGGUGUUAGGUCCU